ensembl:lncRNA
AUGUUAUACCCACUCUGCCAGCUUGGACAUGUCUAUCAUCUACAAUAUUUAGCAUGUGCAGGUGCUGCAGGCAGAAGUAAAAUUCGAACAAAACCUGAAAUCUACCGCACAGAUACAGGGAAAAUGAUUGUGGAAGAUGAGUUUUUAAACUUUCUUUCUAUUAAGAUCAAAACUGUGAAACAGGACGAGAUUGUUUUGAUGGCUGUGGACCAUUUUGGAUCAGAAUGGAUUACAAACUCCACCAAACUGCUAUUUGAACUGUGCCCAGGUACUACUCGCAAGCUUGUGGCUCAUACUGGGCCGCAAAAAGAUUCAAAGAAUGUUAGGAAUUGCCUUAGGCUUCUCAAUGAAGCUGGUGAAAAUGUUCCUCGGUUUGUUUCUCACCAUCUUGAUGAACUACCACCUGUGACUUUUAACAGCCUUGAUGUUUCCUGUUUGCUUGGGAAGAUUGAACAACUAGGUGCAGAUAUUACUAUCAUGAAACAGGCUGUGUCUUUGCAGACAAACACCUGUAACGAUCUGCGGAUUAUCACCGCAGACAUAAAUCAACGUCUGGGUGCUAUUGAGCAGCCUAGACCAAAUCUGGAGAGAGGGCCUAUUUUCCAAACCAACAAGCCUGGAACAAGUCAGAGAUCGUCCACUCCACAAGUCUGUGAGAAGACCCAAGUUGGCAUGGAGGGCCAGACCAGCGAGAAAGACUCAAGCCAGAAGGUGGAGAGUUCUGCCUUGGGCUUGGACGGGCCAAUCAGCGCCACAAAGGGAGACCCUCAUGUCAUGUGGAGUGACGUGGCUGCUACCCCACCCUGGAACUUGGUCCAGGACAAGAGGAGCAACAGCCGUUGGAAACAGGUCCCCGAUAAUGCUUCAGUUAAGGCCAAACCUCGUCUGCAUCCUCCCAAAGGUAAGAAAACUGGUGGCAUUGUUGGGACUGGUACUGCUGGAGACUUUCAAGUCAUUAAGUCUAAGCUGGUGAGUGUAUUUGCAACAAAAUUCUCACCUGAUUUAGACUCUGAGACUUUGUCUAGUUACAUGAAAGAUAAACUUGGGCGUGAUGUAACUUGUCAAAAGAUAGAAACUUUACAAAGCUGGUUCAGUUCAUUUAAAAUAACUGCAGAGUGCAAAGAAGUGGGUGGAAUGUAUAAUCCAGAGCUGUGGCCUGAAGAAACUUUUGUGCGGCGAUAUUAUGAAGCAUGCAGACCAAAGUCUACAGGGGGGCUAAUGGCAGUGAUGAAUGUGCCUUUAAUGGGGGCUGGGGUACAUGAUGCCUAG